rnacentral:rRNA from 1 species
CCCUACGGGGCGCAGCAGUGGGGAAUAUUGCACAAUGGGGGAAACCCUGAUGCAGCAACGCCGCGUGAAGGAAGACGGUUUUCGGAUUGUAAACUUCUUUUCUUAGUGAAGAAGCAAGUGACGGUAGCUAAGGAAUAAGCAUCGGCUAACUACGUGCCAGCAGCCGCGGUAAUACGUAGGAUGCGAGCGUUAUCCGGAAUUACUGGGUGUAAAGGGAGCGCAGGCGGGACUGCAAGUUGGAUGUGAAAGGUGGGGGCUCAACCCCUAGAGUGCAACUGAUACUGUAUAACUUGAGUGUGAGAGAG